GAAAUGCGAUAAGUAAUGUGAAUUGCAGAAUUCAGUGAAUCAUCGAAUCUUUGAACGCACCUUGCGCUCCUUGGUAUUCCUUGGAGCAUGCCUGUUUGAGUAUCAUGAAAUCUUCAAAGUAAAUCUUUUGUUAACUCAAUUGGUUUCUACUUUGGUAUUGGAGGUCUUUGCAGCUUCACACCUGCUCCUCUUUGUUCAUUAGCUGGAUCUCAGUGUUAUGCUUGGUUCCACUCGGCGUGAUAAGUUAUCUAUCGCUGAGGACACUGUAAAAGGUGGCCAAGGUAAAUGCAGAUGAACCGCUUCUAAUAGUCCUUGACUUGGACAAUACUUUUAUGAUCUGAUCUCAAAUCAGGUAGGACUACCCGCUGAACUUAAGC
rnacentral:misc_RNA from 1 species